rnacentral:rRNA from 1 species
CCUAACACAUGCAAGUCGAACGGUAACAGGAAGAAGCUUCGCUUCUUUGCUGACGAGUGGCGGACGGGUGAGUAAUGUCUGGGAAGCUGCCUGAUGGAGGGGGAUAACUACUGGAAACGGUAGCUAAUACCGCAUAAUGUCGCAAGACCAAAGAGGGGGACCUUCGGGCCUCUUGCCAUCGGAUGUGCCCAGAUGGGAUUAGCUUGUUGGUGGGGUAACGGCUCACCAAGGCGACGAUCCCUAGCUGGUCUGAGAGGAUGACCAGCCACACUGGAACUGAGACACGGUCCAGACUCCUACGGGAGGCAGCAGUGG